rnacentral:rRNA from 1 species
GACAGAGGCCUCAAGCGUUAGGCGGAAUCACUGGGCUUAAAGCGUGUGUAGGCGGAUCGUUAAGUGCCUUGUGAAAUCCCACGGCUUAACUGUGGAACGGCUGGGCAUACUGGCGGUCUUGAGCCAUCUAGGGGCGACUGGAACAAACGGUGGAGCGGUGAAAUGCGUAGAUAUCGUUUGGAACGCCAAUGGUGAAAACAGGUCGCUGGGGAUGCGCUGACGCUGAGACACGAAAGCCAGGGAGCAAACGGG